rnacentral:rRNA from 1 species
CGAGAAAGCCCGCAAGGGUGAGUAAAGCGGCGCACGGGUGCGUAACACGUGGAUAAUCUGCCCUGAAGUCCGGAAUAACUCGCCGAAAGGCGUGCUAAUGCCGGAUGAGACCACGGGAGCUCCGGCUCCUGCGGGAAAAGGUGGCCUCUGUACACAAGCUAUCGCUACAGGAUGAGUCCGCGGCCCAUCAGCUCGUUGGCGGGGUAAUGGCCCACCAAGGCUACGACGGGUAGCUGGUCUGAGAGGACGAUCAGCCACACUGGAACUGAGACACGGUCCAGACUCCUACGGGAGGCAGCAGUGGGGAAUCUUGCGCAAUGGGCGAAAGCCUGACGCAGCAACGCCGCGUGUGUGAUGAAGGUCUUCGGAUCGUAAAGCACUGUCGCGAGGGACG